rnacentral:rRNA from 1 species
CCUGAGAGCGGCGCACGGGUGCGUAACGCGUAUGCAACCUGCCUUAUACAAAGGGAUAGCCCAUGGAAACGUGGAUUAAUAUCUUAUGGGACUGAAAGACCGCAUGGUUUAUCAGUUAAAACUUUGGUGGUAUAAGAUGGGCAUGCGUCUGAUUAGGUAGUUGGUGGGGCAACGGCCCACCAAGCCGACGAUCAGUAGGGGUUCUGAGAGGAUUACCCCCCACACUGGUACUGAGACACGGACCAGACUCCUACGGGAGGCAGCAGUGAGGAAUAUUGGUCAAUGGACGGAAGUCUGAACCAGCCAUCCCGCGUGCAGGAUGACGGCCCUAUGGGUUGUAAACUGCUUUUUUACUCCAAGAAACCCCCCGACGUGUCGGGGGCUGACGGUAGAGUAUGAAUAAGCACCGGCUAACUCCGUGCUAGCAGCCGCGGUAAUACGGAGGGUGCAAGCGUUAUCCGGAUUCAUUGGGUUUAAAGGGUGCGCAGGUGGGGAUGUAAGUCAGUGGUGAAAUACUGCCGCUUAACGGUAGAACUGCCAUUGAUACUGCAUUUCUUGAGUAUGGUUGAGGUAGGUGGAAUGUGUUGUGUAGCGGUGAAAUGCAUAGAUAUGACACAGAACGCCGAUUGCGAAGGCAACUUACUAAGCCAUUACUGACGCUGAGGCACGAAAGCGUGGGUAGCGAACAGGAUUAGAUACCCUGGUAGUCCACGCCGUAAACGAUGUUCACUCGCUGUCUG